rnacentral:rRNA from 1 species
AGUGAACGCUGGCGGUAGGCCUAACACAUGCAAGUCGAACGGCAGCACAGUAAGAGCUUGCUCUUACGGGUGGCGAGUGGCGGACGGGUGAGGAAUACAUCGGAAUCUACUUUUUCGUGGGGGAUAACGUAGGGAAACUUACGCUAAUACCGCAUACGACCUACGGGUGAAAGCAGGGGAUCUUCGGACCUUGCGCGAUUGAAUGAGCCGAUGUCGGAUUAGCUAGUUGGCGGGGUAAAGGCCCACCAAGGCGACAAUCCGUAGCUGGUCUGAGAGGAUGGUCAGCCACACUGGAACUGAGACACGGUCCAGACUCCUACGGGAGGCAGCAGUGGGGAAUAUUGGACAAUGGGCGCAAGCCUGAUCCAGCCAUACCGCGUGGGUGAAGAAGGCCUUCGGGUUGUAAAGCCCUUUUGUUGGGAAAGAAAAGCAGCAGGUUAAUACCCCGCUGUUCUGACGGUACCCAAAGAAUAAGCACCGGCUAACUUCGUG